rnacentral:rRNA from 1 species
AUUGAACGCUGGCGGCAGGCCUAACACAUGCAAGUCGAGCGGAUGAAGGGAGCUUGCUCCUGGAUUCAGCGGCGGACGGGUGAGUAAUGCCUAGGAAUCUGCCUGGUAGUGGGGGAUAACGUCCGGAAACGGGCGCUAAUACCGCAUACGUCCUGAGGGAGAAAGUGGGGGAUCUUCGGACCUCACGCUAUCAGAUGAGCCUAGGUCGGAUUAGCUAGUUGGUGGGGUAAAGGCCUACCAAGGCGACGAUCCGUAACUGGUCUGAGAGGAUGAUCAGUCACACUUGAACUGAGACACGGUCCAGACUCCUACGGGAAGCAGCAGUGGGGAAUAUUGGACAAUGGGCGAAAGCCUGAUCCAGCCAUGCCGCGUGUGUGAAGAAGGUCUUCGGAUUGUAAAGCACUUUAAGUUGGGAGGAAGGGCAGUAAGUUAAUACCUUGCUGUUUUGACGUUACCAACAGAAUAAGCACCGGCUAACUUCGUG